ensembl:piRNA 21ur-3534 ncRNA
UCCUGAAGAAAUUGUGGAAAU